rnacentral:rRNA from 1 species
AGGACGAACGCUGGCGGCGUGCUUAACACAUGCAAGUCGAGCGGAAAGGCCUUUCGGGGUACUCGAGCGGCGAACGGGUGAGUAACACGUGAGUAAUCUGCCCAUCGCUUCAGGAUAGCCAUCGGAAACGGUGAUUAAUACUGGAUAUGACAUUCCUUCGCAUGUUGGGUUGUGGAAAGUUUUUUCGGCGGUGGAUGUGCUCGCGGCCUAUCAGCUUGUUGGUGGGGUAAUGGCCUACCAAGGCUUUGACGGGUAGCCGGCCUGAGAGGGUGACCGGCCACACUGGGACUGAGACACGGCCCAGACUCCUACGGGAGGCAGCAGUGGGGAAUAUUGGACAAUGGGCGGAAGCCUGAUCCAGCAACGCCGCGUGAGGAUGACGGCCUUCGGGUUGUAAACCUCUUCAGCACAGACGAAGUUUUGCUUUUUUGGUGUAAGUGACGGUAUGUGCAGAAGAAGGACCGGCAACUACGUGCCAGCAGCCGC